UACGGGGGGGCAAGCGUUGUUCGGAAUUACUGGGCGUAAAGGGCUCGUAGGCGGCCAACUAAGUCAGACGUGAAAUCCCUCGGCUUAACCGGGGAACUGCAUCUGAUACUGGAUGGCUUGAGUUCGGGAGAGGGAGUGCGGAAUUCCAGGUGUAGCGGUGAAAUGCGUAGAUAUCUGGAGGAACACCGGUGGCGAAGGCGGCAUCCUGGACCGACGACUGACGCUGAGGAGCGAAAGCCAGG
rnacentral:rRNA from 1 species